AGAGAUUGUGGUCUCACAUAUGAAGGUUGUGCUGCUCUGACUUCAGCUCUGAGAUCAAACCCUGAACACCUGAGACAUCUGGAUCUGUCUGGGAAUGAACUAGGAGAUUCAGUGAAUCUGCUCUCUUCUGUACUGGAGGAUCCUCGUUGUAAACUAGAGAUACUGUGGUUGUGUGAUUUUGGUAUCACAGAUGAAGGAUGUGCUGCUCUGGCUUCAGCUCUGAGAUCAAACCCUUCACACCUGAGACAACUGGGUCUGUCGGGGAAUAAACUAAGAGGUUCUGGUGUGAAGCUGCUCUCUGAUCUGAAGGUUGAUCGACAUUAUGAACUGAAAGUAUUUUUCUAUUGACUCUCAGUAUUUAGACGUUUCCUCAGGAUCAGCUGAUGGUGAAUAAGGAGCCGCUACAGAGACACACAGUCACACAAUCAACAGAGACUCAAGAGACACACAGUGGUCACACUGAAUUCACAUCAUUUUCUUGUUUGUAUCUUUUGUGGGUCUGUUCUUUUGAAUUGCUGAUGUCAUCAUAUUUCCACAAUUAUGUGUUAAGGCAUCUGCACACAGCCAAGGCUGCUCAAAAUUUGAUGUAAUGCAGCAUAAAAGCCAGACUAAUAUUUGUCUCUGUGUAAAUGCGUUUAUGCCACCUCUGAGCAGCAUUAAACAGUCUGCGUAAAGACACAUAAAUGCCACCUGAGAAGUGCUUCUGUGCCACCUUUGCAGUAUAAAUUUGGCAUCAGAGGACCUGAAUUUACUGUAUUAUUUGGAGUUGUUUUGAAUUUGCUGUAUUGGUUACAAUGUACACUCAAUAACACUCAGUAACACUCAGUAUACACAAGCAUGUGAGAAUGAGAUCAACUGAUGAAUAACACUUUAUUUUUACAUAUUAACUUUCAGUGUAUAUUUAGUAUAACAUGACAAGUUUUACAUUAGAGAGCAUGAUGAGCCUGACUACUGAAGAGAAAUAAAUAUUUUAAAAGUUAUAUUUUUUUACCUAUAAUAUAAACUUCUGCAUAACAUUUUAUUGUUUAGCUAUUUUAUAUAUGCCAAUCUAUUUAAAUGAUCUAUUAAAGUGGACAGAUUACUGAAAUGUUUCCUUUUUUGGUUGAAUACUGCUUACUAAACUGGAGUCUUUGUCUAGAUGUAUCUAUUCUGCACGAUC